UUCGCGAGUGCAAACCCUAAUUCCCUCCUGUCGGCGACCAUUUCUUCUCUUCCAACCACAAUAUUGAACACCAGUACUCAGGUAGACAGAUCUGUGAGCUGUGGGAGGAAAGGAAAGCGCUUGAAUUGUGAAACUGAAAAGCAUCGAUCAAGAUAGCGGGUUUAUCUUGUUUCUUUUUGUGUCCUUGGUUGAGAGCUUAACACCUGUCACAGAAGCCCACCCAACAUUGUUCAAAGGAGAAAGAAGAGAAAGCUACAAGUACAGGGAGAAGGAGAAGGUAAAAGGGAGGGGUGUGGCUGAGAUCGAAGACGCUUAAAAACAAAGCAGAAAGAGUUAGAUUGAAGGUACACAUUAGACAGAAUAGAUAACACUGUAGGGGUCGGGCCAUAUAUCUUUUC